CAGUAUGUAGCUAAGUAGAAUAGCAUCUCCCUUACACCGAGAAGACGCCUGUGCAACCCAGACCGUACUGA
rnacentral:tRNA from 1 species